rnacentral:lncRNA from 10 species
ACAGGAAACCUUAACCUCUGCCUAGCCACUCACAGCAAGAUGAGAGGCAACUGCUCAGUGCGUGUCUUCAGCUCAUGCCCUCUUUCGCCUGUCUUGGCCCAUCUUCUUCAGGGAUGGGAACCAGCAUGAUGAGGGAGAAGUUACUCAAGGGGCCGUCUUCUUGGCUUCAGCCCUGUGGAAGGCCUAGUGGGCUUUGGACCUCACAGCCAAUCAGCUAGGAAGCCAAGACUGAAUAUGUAGGAGAAGAAUAAAGACCUGUUUUGUGUGUGAAGAGUUGGAGUAGGAAGAUCACAGGACUUCAUUCUGGCUUCAGUUCCUGCCUGGGUAGAUUUUGGCAAGUUACUCUAAAGUUUCUGAUUCUCCAGCACCUCAUCUUUGAAAGGGCAAUAAAAAUACUACCUUCCUUUUGCUUAGGGUUGUAGGGAGGGUUACAUGAGACAGAAUGUAUAAUUGUGCUUUAUGCACUGUGAAAAUCUGUGUAAAUGUUAGACUUGGCUACUGCUAUGACAUCAUAACUUCUGGCGGGAGAGAAGCCCUUUAAUGACUAGCUCUCUCGCUUGCUUUGUUUCUUUCCUGUUUC